GGGAGGGGAGCUAGCGUGUUCGGAAUCACUGGGCGUAAAGGGCGCGUAGGCGUCGGGGUAAGUCGAGUGUGAAAUUCCGGGGCUCAACCCCGCGAACUGCAUUCGAUACUGCUCGACUAGAGAGAGGUAGGGGCGAGUGGAAUUCCCGGUGUAGCGGUGGAAUGCGUAGAUAUCGGGAAGGACACCGGUGGCGAAGGCGGCUCGCUGGGCCUUUUCUGACGCUGAAGCGCGAAAGCGUGGGGAGCAAACAGGAUUAGAUACCCUGGUAGUCCACGCCGUAAACGAUGGGUACUAGGUGUUGGGAGGAUUGACCCUCUCAGUGCCGACGCUAACGCAUUAAGUACCCCGCCUGGGGAGUACGGCCGCAAGGCUG
rnacentral:rRNA from 1 species